rnacentral:rRNA from 1 species
AUUGAACGCUGGCGGCAGGCCUAACACAUGCAAGUCGAACGGUAACAGGAAACAGCUUGCUGUUUCGCUGACGAGUGGCGGACGGGUGAGUAAUGUCUGGGAAACUGCCUGAUGGAGGGGGAUAACUACUGGAAACGGUAGCUAAUACCGCAUAACGUCGCAAGACCAAAGAGGGGGACCUUCGGGCCUCUUGCCAUCGGAUGUGCCCAGAUGGGAUUAGCUAGUAGGUGGGGUAACGGCUCACCUAGGCGACGAUCCCUAGCUGGUCUGAGAGGAUGACCCGGCAAACCGGAAAUGAGACCAGGUCCCGAAUCCUAAGGGAGGGAGGCGGGGGGAAUAUUGGACAAUGGGCGCAAGCCUGAUGCAGCCAUGCCGCGUGUAUGAAGAAGGCCUUCGGGUUGUAAAGUACUUUCAGCGGGGAGGAAGGGAGUAAAGUUAAUACCUUUACUCAUUGACGUUACCCGCAGAAGAAGCACCGGCUAACUCCGUG